rnacentral:rRNA from 1 species
CAAGGGGGCUAUUCCGGAGGUGCUCCACCCGAUCCCAUUCCGAACUCGGAAGUGAAAUCCUCCAGGGUCGAUGAUACUAGGUUUCCUGGGAAAGUAGAUCGUCCCCUUAC